GUAUCCAACCUGCCGAUAACUCGGGGAUAGCCUUUCGAAAGAAAGAUUAAUAUCGGAUAGCAUAUDAAUAUCGCAUGAUAUUUUUAUUAAAGAAUUUCGGUUAUCGAUGGGGAUGCGUUCCAUUAGUUUGUUGGCGGGGUAACGGCCCACCAAGACUACGAUGGAUAGGGGUUCUGAGAGGAAGGUCCCCCACAUUGGAACUGAGACACGGUCCAAACUCCUACGGGAGGCAGCAGUGAGGAAUAUUGGUCAAUGGACGAGAGUCUGAACCAGCCAAGUAGCGUGAAGGAUGACUGCCCUAUGGGUUGUAAACUUCUUUUAUAUGGGAAUAAAGUAUUCCACGUGUGGAAUUUUGUAUGUACCAUAUGAAUAAGGAUCGGCUAACUCCGUGCCAGCAGCCGCGGUAAUACGGAGGAUCCGAGCGUUAUCCGGAUUUAUUGGGUUUAAAGGGAGCGUAGGUGGAUUGUUAAGUCAGUUGUGAAAGUUUGCGGCUCAACCGUAAAAUUGCAGUUGAAACUGGCAGUCUUGAGUACAGUAGAGGUGGGCGGAAUUCGUGGUGUAGCGGUGAAAUGCUUAGAUAUCACGAAGAACUCCGAUUGCGAAGGCAGCUCACUAGACUGCAACUGACACUGAUGCUCGAAAGUGUGGGUAUCAAACAGGAUUAGAUACCCUGGUAGUCCACACAGUAAACGAUGAAUACUCGCUGUUUGCGAUAUACAGUAAGCGGCCAAGCGAAAGCAUUAAGUAUUCCACCUGGGGAGUACGCCGGCAACGGUGAAACUCAAAGGAAUUGACGGGGGCCCGCACAAGCGGAGGAACAUGUGGUUUAAUUCGAUGAUACGCGAGGAACCUUACCCGGGCUUAAAUUGCAUUUGAAUAAUCUGGAAACAGGUUAGCCGCAAGGCAAAUGUGAAGGUGCUGCAUGGUUGUCGUCAGCUCGUGCCGUGAGGUGUCGGCUUAAGUGCCAUAACGAGCGCAACCCUUAUCUUUAGUUACUAACAGGUCAUGCUGAGGACUCUAGAGAGACUGCCGUCGUAAGAUGUGAGGAAGGUGGGGAUGACGUCAAAUCAGCACGGCCCUUACGUCCGGGGCUACACACGUGUUACAAUGGGGGGUACAGAAGGCAGCUACCUGGUGACAGGAUGCUAAUCCCAAAAACCUCUCUCAGUUCGGAUCGAAGUCUGCAACCCGACUUCGUGAAGCUGGAUUCGCUAGUAAUCGCGCAUCAGCCAUGGCGCGGUGAAUACGUUCCCGGGC
rnacentral:rRNA from 1 species